GAAAAGGGUAUAGCUCAGUGGUAGAGCGUUGGACUGUAGAUCAAGAGGUCCCCGGUUCGAAUCCUGGUGUUUUCU
rnacentral:tRNA from 1 species